rnacentral:lncRNA from 1 species
UCCUCAUUUAUCCUAGGAUGGCAGGACCUGCAGAUUCUUGAUUAGAUUUUAGAUGCAAAUAAAGAACUUGGAAUUAUUCCCCAAGAAGCUCCUUCUUCUGAAACCAAGAGGGGACUACAUGAUUCUAUCUGAUGACAACCAGUCUGUGAUCUCAGGUAUAAAAUGCAAUGUCCUAUUGUAAUAAUGGCUGGCAUUACACCCAACAUCUAGAAGAAAAAAACAAUGAUGUCAGAGGGCAGUCAUCUUGAGUGAAUAAAAGGCAAGAGGUGUAUUGCAAAUUCUAAUGCACUUCAUCAUAGAAUUUUAAUUAACUAUUUCAUUCACACCAAUUGGGGUCUAUUAAAGCAAUUAUUUCUGAGAAGCAAUCUUUGGGAAAUUCAGGUAAAAAAAGACAACUUCUGUCUUCUGGAACAAUAAUGUUGUGACUGUCUACACCUAAUAAAAGGUGACUGUGUAGCCAGGUGUGGUGGCACACGCCUGUAAUUCCAGCUACUCAGGAGGCUGAGGAAUGAGAACCGCUUGAACCUGGGAAGUGGAGGUUGCAGUGAGCAGAGAUUGCGCCAUUGCACUCAAGGUUAGACAACAGUGAGACUCUGUCCCCUGCCCCCCCAAAAAAGUGACCAUGCAAGAUUUGCCCUGGGAUAUAGUUUAAUUACAUAACAUACUCUGAAAAUAAGCAAAUUACUUACAUACAUGCUUUGAUCUUUCUCUAUCUGAGGAAAGGGAAGAACACAGUUCACCUCUCUAGAAGUUGCUUCUGAGAACUAUGGUCCAUGCUCCAUUCUGAAUCCACAAGGAAAGGCCUUCACACUAUACGUGGCAAUUGCAAUUAGUUAUUGUCUUCUGGUUACGGCAUGAUGGGCUGAUUGCCUUAGUUAUGUCAGAGAGGUGUUUGAAGAGCCUAUUGUGACUUGCCUCUUUUUAAAGGGCUUGAGUUUUAACCGACUAAUAAUACACUUUGAUAUUGUCUGCAGUUUUUAACAAGUGUUUUUAUUUGUGCUUAAUACUCAUUAGUAUGACUAGGUAAUUUUUAAGGUUCACUCACCAGGGAAUUUGGUUUCAUGGAUCAUUAGGGGCCUGGAUUAUAGGCCCCUCACGACACUUAGCAACUGAAUCAUACUGAACAAUAGAAUCUCCUUGAACGUUUGCCUUUUUAAAA